UACGUAGGGUGCGGGCGUUAAUCGGAAUUACUGGGCGUAAAGCGUGCGCAGGCGGUUUUGUAAGCCCGAUGUGAAAUCCCCGGGCUUAACCUGGGAAUGGCAUUUGGGACUGCAAGGCUGGAGUGCGGCAGAGGAGACUGGAAUUCCUGGUGUAGCAGUGAAAUGCGUAGAUAUCAGGAGGAAUACCGAUGGCGAAGGCAGGUCUCUGGGCUGACACUGACGCUCAUGCACGAAAGCGUGGGGAGCAAACAGG
rnacentral:rRNA from 1 species